rnacentral:sRNA from 1 species
CGGAAAGAAAAAGUUACGUAACAUUGC